AUAUCAGGAAAGACAAAAUGUGGCAGCUGUAGCCUCAGGUAACUCACAAAUGGGCUGCAAUCACAACUGAGAGAUUGGAGGAAGAAGCACAACUUGCUCGGCUUAGAAGUACCUGUUCCUGACCUCAGACAGAGCCAAGCACCAGGCUCCAUGUGAUUUUGUGGCCUUCCAUGCAUCUCCCUGCUUUUCUGGACCAUUGCAGGAGGCACACAGUUAUGAUGAUGACAACAGCAACUGCACUAUGACUUGCAUGUUUUUAACAGCUCUCUCAGGUAAUUUGUACUGAUUUCUUACUUUUUCUA